UACGAAGGGGGCUAGCGUUGCUCGGAAUCACUGGGCGUAAAGCGCACGUAGGCGGCUUCUUAAGUCAGGGGUGAAAUCCUGGAGCUCAACUCCAGAGCUGCCUUUGAUACUGAGAAGCUUGAGUCCGGGAGAGGUGAGUGGAACUGCGAGUGUAGAGGUGAAAUUCGUAGAUAUCCGCAAGAACACCAGUGGCGAAGGCGGCUCACUGGCCCGGUACUGACGCUGAGGUGCGAAAGCGUGGGGAGCAAACAGG
rnacentral:rRNA from 1 species